GGGUCUCUGGGCAGUAACUGACGCUGAGGAGCGAAAGCGUGGGGAGCGAACAGGAUUAGAUACCCUGGUAGUCCACGCUGUAAACGGUGGGCGCUAGGUGUGGGUUUCCUUCCAUGAAAUCCGUGCCGUAGCUAACGCAUUAAGCGCCCCGCCUGGGGAGUACGGCCGCAAGGCUAAAACUCAAAGAAAUUGACGGGGGCCCGCACAAGCGGCGGAGCAUGUGGAUUAAUUCGAUGCAACGCGAAGAACCUUACCUGGGUUUGACAUGGACCGGAAAGCCGUAGAGAUACGGCCCCCCUUGUGGUCGGUUCACAGGUGGUGCAUGGCUGUCGUCAGCUCGCGUCGUGAGAUGUUGGGUUAAGUCCCGCAACGAGCGCAACCCUUGUCCUGUGUUGCCAGCGCGUAAUGGCGGGGACUCUCAGGAAACUGCCGGGGUCAACUCGGAGGAAGGUGGGGACGACGUCAAGUCAUCAUGCCCCUUAUGUCCAGGGCUUCACACAUGCUACAAUGGCGCGUACAGAGGGCAGCGAUACCGCGAGGUGGAGCGAAUCCCUUAAAGCGCGUCUCAGUUCGGAUUGGGGUCUGCAACUCGACCCCAUGAAGUCGGAGUCGCUAGUAAUCGCAGAUCAGCAACGCUGCGGUGAAUACGUUCCCGGGCCUUGUACACACCGCCCGUCAAGCCAUGGAA
rnacentral:rRNA from 1 species